CCCUGGGUAAUGAUGUAGCGAUUGAAGAAAGACAAUCUUUUCUGCUCUGGUUUCUUCCUUGAUAAAAAGCCCCCGUAGGUAAAAUAUUAUUUUUUAAUGUCUUCAAAAAAACAGGUCAAGUUCAGUCCUAGAAGGCUCGAUGGUUUUGGUCUUACAGAUGGCGAGGCUAUUGAAAGGCUCUGGGCUUACCUUCGUGGAUACUCAGCAAUUACUAAGGAGAUGUCUGCCAGUAGAAGAGUAGAUCUUUUGAAAGACGCUCUUCUUCACUUAUCUCGAAGAAAUUUUAGCAAUGCAGGAAAAUCGUUAACGUCGAAGCUUAAAAAAUGUCUACAACUUAAAAUUAAAACGCAA